rnacentral:misc_RNA from 1 species
GGACAUAAAGGAUCCAAAGCAAUUCUUAGUUGCUUCACUAGCAAAUCUUUCUGCUCAAACCCCUGGGAGGUAUCCCCAGAUAAUUAGUGAAAAUCUUGACCCAGCUAAUCAAACAGCAUUAUUACAGUUUUGUACUACUUACAAUUGCCCAAUUGUUUGAGUAAGUAGCUACUUAUAUAGCAGCCAUUAUCUCUGUUUAUUGUGCUUUUUUUCUUUUUGUUAAUUUUGCUACCGAACAUGAAGUGUAUUCUAUGACACGGACAUUCACUUAAAUUGGUUGAGAACAAUAUUGGUGUGAUAGCUGCCUUAGAUGUUCCUAGAUUGAUUCUGAGCUUGCCAAUCUUAUGAGGCUUUUGGAUUGCAUUAAUAAUGAUAUAGUUAACAUGAUCUUGGCAUAAAGCUAGAAUUGUGUGGUGAUAGUGUAUUGUUUUGUGUGUAAGUAUAUGCACACACACACAUGGUUGGAGGUGGGAUCUUAGCAAUUUAUUCUUUGUUUAUUUUAUGGAAGGUGAAAUAAUCUCUUAUAUGUCUUCUCUUAUGAUCCUGAAUUAGAGAGAGGCAUAUAUGAGGUCUGUGUGCUUCUUUUGAAGUUGUGGUCACUGUAAAGACUUUCUUUGUACUUUUGCUAUUGGAAGCUUUAUAGGUACUUCACCUCUUGGAUUGUUAGCUGUGAUGUUGUUUAAUUGAUCUAUUAUGUCUUCACUUUUUAUAAUAUAACACGUCUCGUGUUAUUUUUGAAAUAUCGUGUCUGCCUUUGUUUUGUACCUAUAUGGCUCAACUCCAUAGCUUUCUCUGGCUAUUGAUACACAUGCUUGAGUUGAGUCACCUUGUGAAUGUGUCAAGGAGGCAAUUUGAAAAAGGAGAACAGUAAAUUGCUAGCUGAACUGCUAUAUGGGUGACUUAGUUUGCAACUGAACAGAGAAAUUAGUAAUGCAUCUGAACUUUUUAUUCCUAACAUUGUGGAAAAUGAAUCAUAAAUUGAAUGAUUUUAGCACUUAUAAUUUUAUGAAUUGAAGACUGUAACCUUAUCUUUUAUUUUUCAUCCAGCAGUGCACAUGUGAUAGUGCAGACCAUUCUAUUUGAUUAUCCUUGUUUAAAAUUGUAAAUUUGUGCUCCACUUGUAAGCUUUCUUAUUACUAUUUUUUUUUUUACUCAGUUUUAUCUAGCUUCCUGAAAUCUGACAAUUUUGGGACUCAUACAUCAGUCAAGAGGGAGUUUCGUUAUUGAGUGUUAGUUUCCCUGUUAAAAGUCAAUUUACACCUAUGCAAGUGGAUUUUGUUUGUCCAUUCUCUUUUUGUUCCUCCUGUUUUUAUCAAAUUUGAGAAGCUUAUGACAUUGACACUGAAAUGUAUUUUUAUUCCUCGUGUUUUCUUAGCUUCAUUUAAGAUCCUCUCCUUGGUAAGUAAGUUCCUUGUUUCCAUAAUUUUUUUUUAAUUUGCUCCAAGUGCUUUGUUUAGAUUCAGGGAAUUGGUGUGUAACCUUUAAUCUUCUUCAAAAGACCUUAGUCUAACUCCAUUCCCAUUUGGGCCUAAAUUUCUUGAUCUGUGCUAUAUGAGAGAGGAAGAAGGGAAGGAGAAAGAAGAAAGAGGGGGGGAGAGUGCGAGAAAACAGGCAAACCCCAAAAAAGAUGUUGAGUUACUUUGUUGUCUUCAGUGUACUGUUAUUAUGAGGUCAGACUGCAUGCAAGAUGUUUGAAAUAUAACUUUGUUAUGGAUUAAAAUGUUACAUCUGCCUAGUUGAUGUCUUCUUUGCCUUUCAUUUACACCUCUUCUAGUUAAUUGUAAAAGUAUCUUACCAUUCUCGUGCGCUGGUUUUCAGAAUCUUGUAUGGGAAUUGAGGUCU